rnacentral:sRNA from 1 species
CUCACUUCAGAUGUUAUGAUUUAUUUUUCAGAGUACUCUGCAGCUCUGCUUCUCUUCUGUCUUGGGUUUUAAUUGCUAUCUGCAGAAGGUUUGGUAGGAUGGACUUCCCAGACAGACUCAAAAGUCUGACAAAUCAUUUUUCAUGGCUGCUUAUUAUUCCAGCAAGCACCUGGACCCUGACUCACUGAAAGUUUCUCCAAUUGGAUUGAAGCCUCUGCCAAACUCCAUAGUCAUGAGUCAAACUGAAGCAAGAUUCCAAUGCAUCAGGACCCGAGUGCUCUUGUGUUACAUCGAAGAGGCAAAAGGACCCUUGGACAAUUCUGGAUGGAGACUGCCUAAACCCUGGGGGUCCUGAGGAUGAGGGCUUAGGGCAGCUUGAGUUAAUUUCCUUCUGCAUCCUCACAGCACGGAAGAGCUCAAAUGGCAGAACCAUCUGAGGAGUCCUGAAGACAGAGUCCUGGAGGCAGAAGACUCUCCUCUCUGGAUUCUUGGAAAGAGUGAUCCUUUCUACAUACCUCUUUGCUUGAUACUCAUGACUUGGACUCAGCUGUAUCAUUGCUGUUUCCUGUGGAACUUCACUGAUGUUUAAGACCAUGGAGGAGUCCACAGGAUGGGCUCAAGGUAUUCUCAUGGCAUUGUUCAUGGUUGGUGCCUUCUCACUUGUGUGCUGCAUUAGCUUCAUUGGGGGCUGAAGUGCUUAAGACUUAGUAAUUGCCCUUAUGUGUUUAAUACAGUGCUAGCAAGAAAGUCAUCACUUUGGACAUAGCAGAAGAAACUGCUGUCUGUCACGGCUUAAAUUGUGUCCUUUUAAA